UCACACACUCUCUCUCUCUCUCUCUCUCUCUCUCUCUCUCUCUCUCUCUCUCUCUCUCUCAUACACACACACACACACACACACACACACACACACACACACACACACACACACACACACACACACACACACACACACACAGUCCUUCUAAAACACUGUUCCUUAACAACACUACUUAAAAGACAACACAAGACAACCCAGAACAAGCAGCUAUAAACAACCACAGCCGCAUCUGUUCAGGUGAGCCCUGCUGUCCCUGGUGCUGAUUUUCAGCGUUAACAACUACGAUAAAACAACAACUUAAUUUGAUUGACCAAUGCAACUUAUUCCAGGCAAUCAAGGCACAAUUAGAAAUAUAAUAACACAAAAAAUAAUAAACGGACAGCUCAGGGAACAGUAAUGCCGCACCGAGAGGUGUCCAUUUUACUCACCCUAUUUGUAGAGGAAGGCCAUUCUUCUGUCUUUCAUGGUGGCGAAGAGGUCAAUAAGAGACCCAAGGAUUGUUCAGGGAGCAUAAA